rnacentral:rRNA from 1 species
UACGAAGGGGGCUAGCGUUGUUCGGAUUUACUGGGCGUAAAGCGCACGUAGGCGGAUUGUUAAGUCAGGGGUGAAAUCCCGGAGCUCAACUCCGGAACUGCCUUUGAUACUGGCAAUCUUGAGGCUGGAAGAGGUUAGUGGAAUUCCCAGUGUAGAGGUGAAAUUCGUAGAUAUCUGGAGGAACACCGGUGGCGAAGGCGGCAUCCUGGACCGGUAUUGACGCUGAGGCGCGGAAAGCCAGGGGGAGCAAACGGGG